UACGUAGGCAGCAAGCGUUGUUCGGAAUUACUGGGCGUAAAGAGUGUGUAGGCGGUGCUCCAAGUCUGGUGUGAAAUCUCCGGGCUUAACCCGGAAAGGUCAGCCGAAACUGCGGGGCUAGAGUGCAGAAGGGGCAACUGGAAUUCUCGGUGUAGCGGUGAAAUGCGUAGAUAUCGAGAGGAACACCUGCGGCGAAGGCGGGUUGCUGGGCUGACACUGACGCUGAAGCGCGAAAGCUAGGGGAGCGAACGGG
rnacentral:rRNA from 1 species